GAUGAACGCUGGCGGCGUGCCUAAUACAUGCAAGUCGAGCGAACGGACGAGAAGCUUGCUUUUCUGAUGUUAGCGGCGGACGGGUGAGUAACACGUGGAUAACCUACCUAUAAGACUGGGAUAACUUCGGGAAACCGGAGCUAAUACCGGAUAAUAUUUUGAACCGCAUGGUUCAAAAGUGAAAGACGGUCUUGCUGUCACUUAUAGAUGGAUCCGCGCUGCAUUAGCGAGUUGGUAAGGUAACGGCUUACCAAGGCAACGAUGCAUAGCCGACCUGAGAGGGUGAUCGGCCACACUGGAACUGAGACACGGUCCAGACUCCUACGGGAGGCAGCAGUAGGGAAUCUUCCGCAAAGGGCGAAAGCCUGACGGAGCAACGCCGCGUGAGUGAUGAAGGUCUUCGGAUCGUAAAACUCUGUUAUUAGGGAAGAACAUAUGUGUAAGUAACUGUGCACAUCUUGACGGUACCUAAUCAGAAAGCCACGGCUAACUACGUG
rnacentral:rRNA from 1 species